UACGUAGGGUGCAAGCGUUGUCCGGAAUUAUUGGGCGUAAAGAGCUCGUAGGCGGUCUGUCGCGUCUGCUGUGAAAACCUGGGGCUUAACCCCGGGCGUGCAGUGGAUACGGGCCGGCUGGAGGCAGGCAGGGGAGAAUGGAAUUCCCGGUGUAGCGGUGAAAUGCGCAGAUAUCGGGAGGAACACCGGUGGCGAAGGCGGUUCUCUGGGCCUGUACUGACGCUGAGGAGCGAAAGCGUGGGGAGCGAACAGG
rnacentral:rRNA from 1 species